rnacentral:rRNA from 1 species
CAGCAGCCGCGGUAAUCCGUAGGGUGCAAGCGUUAAUCGGAAUUACUGGGCGUAAAGCGUGCGCAGGCGGUUCGUUAAGACAGAUGUGAAAUCCCCGGGCUUAACCUGGGAACUGCAUUUGUGACUGGCGGGCUAGGGUAUGGCAGAGGGGGGUAGAAUUCCACGAGUAGCAGUGAAAUGCGUAGAGAUGUGGAGGAAUACCGAUGGCGAAGGCAGCCCCCUGGGCCAAUACUGACGCUCAUGCACGAAAGCGUGGGGAGCAAACAGGAUUAGAUACCCCCGUAGUCCCUGUCUCUUAUAC